rnacentral:rRNA from 1 species
AACGAACGCUGGCGGCAGGCUUAACACAUGCAAGUCGAACGCCCCGCAAGGGGAGUGGCAGACGGGUGAGUAACACGUGGGAACGUACCCUUUUCUACGGAAUAACCCAGGGAAACUUGGACUAAUACCGUAUGUGCCCUUCGGGGGAAAGAUUUAUCGGAAAAGGAUCGGCCCGCGUUGGAUUAGCUAGUUGGUGGGGUAAAGGCCUACCAAGGCGACGAUCCAUAGCUGGUCUGAGAGGAUGAUCAGCCACAUUGGGACUGAGACACGGCCCAAACUCCUACGGGAGGCAGCAGUGGGGAAUAUUGGACAAUGGGCGCAAGCCUGAUCCAGCCAUGCCGCGUGAGUGAUGAAGGCCUUAGGGUUGUAAAGCUCUUUCACCGGAGAAGAUAAUGACGGUAUCCGGAGAAGAAGCCCCGGCUAACUUCGUGCCAGCCGCCGCGGUAA